rnacentral:rRNA from 1 species
UACGGGGGGGGCAAGCGUUGUUCGGAAUUACUGGGCGUAAAGGGCUCGUAGGUGGCCAACUAAGUCAGACGUGAAAUCCCUCGGCUUAACCGGGGAACUGCGUCUGAUACUGGAUGGCUUGAGUUUGGGAGAGGGACGCGGAAUUCCAGGUGUAGCGGUGAAAUGCGUAGAUAUCUGGAGGAACACCGGUGGCGAAGGCGGCGUCCUGGACCAACGCUGACACUGAGGAGCGAAAGCCAGGGGAGCAAACGGG